UACAUGGGGUGCAAACGUUGCUCGGAAUUACUGGGCGUAAAGCGCACGUAGGCGGCUUUGUAAGUUAGAGGUGAAAGCCCGGGGCUCAACUCCGGAACUGCCUUUAAGACUGCAUCGCUUGAAUCCAGGAGAGGUGAGUGGAAUUCCGAGUGUAGAGGUGAAAUUCGUAGAUAUUCGGAAGAACACCAGUGGCGAAGGCGGCUCACUGGACUGGUAUUGACGCUGAGGUGGCGAAAGCGUGGGGAGCAAACAGG
rnacentral:rRNA from 1 species